rnacentral:rRNA from 1 species
UACGGAGGGAGCUAGCGUUGUUCGGAAUUACUGGGCGUAAAGCGCGCGUAGGCGGCUUUGUAAGUUAGAGGUGAAAGCCCGGGGCUCAACUCCGGAAUUGCCUUUAAGACUGCAUCGCUCGAAUUGUGGAGAGGUAAGUGGAAUUCCGAGUGUAGAGGUGAAAUUCGUAGAUAUUCGGAAGAACACCAGUGGCGAAGGCGACUUACUGGACACAUAUUGACGCUGAGGUGCGAAAGCGUGGGGAGCAAACAGG